UGCUCUCUUCUCUCGUUCAGUCGA
rnacentral:siRNA from 1 species